GCAGUUGUUUUUUUUAAUUCAUUUUUUUUAUAUAUAUACAUAUAUUUAGAUUUGCACAUUUUUUUUCAUAACUAACUACCCUGAUUUUUCCUAAACCCUGACAAUUUCGCCAUAAACUCUAAAUUUCAAACCUAAAACUUUAACCGUGUUGUUUCCUCUAAACCAUAAACCUUUUCUUAAACCUUAACAAACCUUAUUAUUAUUUCCUAUUUUCGCUCAUAUUUAUGUUAUUCAUACACUGUAACUGCUUCGCCCUUGUAAU
rnacentral:lncRNA from 1 species